UACGUAGGGGACAAGCGUUGUCCGGAAUUAUUGGGCGUAAAGAGCUCGUAGGCGGUUUGUCGCGUCUGCUGUGAAAGUCCGAGGCUCAACCUCGGAUCUGCAGUGGGUACGGGCAGACUAGAGUGUGGUAGGGGAGACUGGAAUUCCUGGUGUAGCGGUGGAAUGCGCAGAUAUCAGGAGGAACACCAAUGGCGAAGGCAGGUCUCUGGGCCACAACUGACGCUGAGGAGCGAAAGCAUGGGGAGCGAACAGG
rnacentral:rRNA from 1 species